GACGAACGCUGGCGGCGUGCUUAACACAUGCAAGUCGAACGGAAAGGCCCUGCUUUUGUGGGGUGCUCGAGUGGCGAACGGGUGAGUAACAUGUGAGUAACCUGCCCUUGACUUUGGGAUAACUUCAGGAAACUGGGGCUAAUACCGGAUAGGAGCUCCUGCUGCAUGGUGGGGGUUGGAAAGUUUCGGCGGUUGGGGAUGGACUCGGGGCUUAUCAGCUUGUUGGUGGGGUAGUGGCUUACCAAGGCUUUGACGGGUAGCCGGCCUGAGAGGGUGACCGGCCACAUUGGGACUGAGAUACGGCCCAGACUCCUAUGGGAGGCAGCAGUGGGGAAUCUUGCACAAUGGGCGGAAGCGUGAUGCAGCAACGCCGCGUGCGGGAUGACGGCCUUCGGGUUGUAAACCGCUUUCGCCUGUGACGAAGCGUGAGUGACGGUAAUGGGUAAAGAAGCACCGGCUAACUACGUG
rnacentral:rRNA from 1 species